UGACCUGCGCCCUCUGCUCCAAUCUCCAUCGACUCUGACUCUGCUAGCUGCUGCUGCUGUUCUGGUGCUGUGGUUUCGUUUCUGAAUUCAGAGUGCGUGCGUUGUUGUUCCGUCGGUCUGUGUAGUUAGUGGAUGGCGAUGGAUCUGAAUGCAGUUAGUUCGUCAGAGUGCGUGUGUUGUCUGUGGAAGGAGAUAAAUAUGAAUGCAAUGGGAUUGUUGGUUUCUUCUAUUUGAAUCUGGUCACCACCAACUUGUUAUGCCACUAAAAAAUUUCUCAGCAGAGGAAGUUAGUUGCGGUAAUUUUCGUUUGGAUUUUCAUACCAUGCGCGCACAGAGAUCGAAAUAGGUAGGGGACUCUGUUUCUAUUUCGUUGUGCUGUCUGUUCCCAAACAUAGCUCCUCUGCAGCCGUAUGUCAACGAGGUGGAAGGGGAUGGCGGUCCAACUGACUCCAUCUGAAGAGGUGCUGCUGUUUAGAUCCUACUCCCUACAUGCCAGCUGGAGUAGCUGAAGUUUAUCUCUGAUGCAUCAUGAUCCUACUCCCUACUCUUGGCGUUGGAAUGCUGUACUUGGCGCCUGAUCAUGGAACCAGAUCCUCUAACAUUGCCAAGGAAAGUCAUCGUGCUACCGUGUUUGCCUAGUGUAAAAUAAAGAAAAAAAGUUAGGGACUGUUAUUAGGUAUAGUUAGUAGGUUGUUUACUCUUGGUAUUUACUGUAGAUAUAAAUAAUUUAAUUUUAAUUUUAUUUCACCAUCAAUUUGUUUGUACUCCCUCCAUUUCACAAUGUAGUGCUUCCUUUAUUCUUGUGCUUCAACUUUGACCGUAAAUUUAACUAACAAGACCGAUUGCGGCGGGAGCAAAAAUUAUAUCAGUGAAUUCGUAUUCGAAAGAAGUUUUCAAUUAUAUAAUUUUUUCUCCUGCCGUAGUUGGUUUCGUUGGUUAAAUUUAUGGUCAAAGUUAGAUCUCGGAAAGCGCGGGCGCACUAUAUUUUGGAAUGGAGGAAGUAUGUAAUUAAUAUAAAUGUACACAAUAGAUCAUCAAUUUGCAAAUUAAUUUAAAUCAUUUUAGCCAUAAUCAUAUGAAUAUAAAGAAGAAAAGUUAGCGCAUUGUACCUUCUCUAACUUUCCUUCUCAAUGUUAGAGGAUCCGGUUCCCCUGAUCAUGGGCUUCAUGAUGAAAAGGAAGCCGGAAGUGAUCUUUUCUGUAAUAAUAGUUGGUUACCCAGAAACGUUCUCUGAAUUUAUGUGUUAUUUUUGUAAUCAGAUACACUGUACUCCCUCCGUUCCUAAAUAAGUAGAUGAUGUUUGGUAGUUUAAUUUGAACUACCAAAACGUCAUGUAUUUAGGAGCGGACGAAGUAUGUUCUAAAAUUUGGUGAUGUCAAUUUUUUUAGUUCAGUUAAAUCAAAUGGUUAUAGAGUUGCACAUUGCUCAAUAUAAAAGCUCGCUAACUUGUAGUGACGUGAGAGAGAGAAAAAAAAAUCUUACAAUCAUCUUAUGCUACUACUUUGUCAGCUGCUAUUUUGCUUCCCCUAAAAAAAGUUGUUAUUUUGCUACAGGGACAUAAUUUUUAUCCUCUCUGAUGAUGUGUGCCCAAGGCCUCCAUGAGCUGGCUAACAUUUGAAUUUCAACCCUUUCAAAAGUUCUCUUAACAAAUGGACCUUUUCACUUCCUCACAAAAAAAAGACACAGAUUUUGAUCCAGUCAAGGAUAGGCCGAAUUAAAGUGAAACUAACAUUGUUUUCGAUAUGGUUCUACUACCUCUUAAGAAAUAAAGCAUCUCAAUUAUUCGUCUGAAAGACGGGGUGAAUUAUCACAUAGAGUUGGAACACGUCUCUUUACUGAUUGAUAGUAAGGUGUGGAAACCUUAAUGCUCGUCUAAUUAGGAUGGAAAUAUGAUAGUGCACAACAAGAUUGCUCAUACGAGGCAAAUUCUGGAAUUGUGUAUUGGAGUCAUUCAUUUCAAUUAUCCGCAGCUCAUAAUAAAGAUGACCUCUUUCUUACAAGCUGCGACAUUUGCUCGGGGCGAGCAAACCUUUUAUCUUGGGGGAGUUGAUUAGUCCAAUUUAUGUGAUAAUUUUGAUAGUUAUGUUGUGCCUACAUGUUAGGCUUUGAGGAGUUUUACCGCGUUCGUGCACUAAAUUUUCUCGGUAUUCCGCAGUGACGUCCUUUGGAGUAAAUAAAGUUUUAUGAAAGGAAUCCUAGAUAAUAGUGAACUGACCUGGACAAACAUAACCAAGGGGACAAGGGCUAGUUGCCAUGCAGCAAGAAGGUCAAGACAUAGCUGCAAAGCAAUAUGUUGCUUCAAUAAAUAUGUUGUAUAAUGAUAGAUUUACUAAGAAUUUGUUCAAUAAAUAUAUUGUUUUAACGAGUUGAAAGCUGUCGUUUUAGUAGUACUUGGAGCCCCCACCCGUAAUUAUCCCAUAAAACUCCAUCACUCAGAAAUAUGACGGGGAAAAGAAACUGAAAACAUUGAACAACAAAGAGGACAGUCGAUGCUAACCGACGUAAAACACAAUAGCUGCAGAGCAUAGGAUAAGAUGACCGACGGAGGAGAGGAGGUGGAGAAACAACAUCCGGACAUGAAGCCAGGACCGACACGAGGGGCGGCGCCGGGUGAAACAAGACAGACGGUGAUGGUGCGAGGGGGGAGGGGAGGAAGACGGAUCGGAGGAACAAAAGAAAAGAUACGUUAUAAAACCUGAAAUGUUUAAGGACUAAAGUGUAAAAGGAAAAAUAAUAAACAGAGAAAAUUUGGUUUAGGCAAAUAAAUAGAGAAAGUUUUUUUUGAGACAAAUAAACAGAGAAAGUGAAAACUUUUUUUUUGAAGCUAAGAAACUGAAAACUGGAAACAGGAAAACACGCGGCCGCUCUAUUUGGCUCUGUUCGGAAAAAAAAAGUGAAAGUGAAAAAUGCAAUUUCUAAUAUUUUAGGAAAAAAAAACAGAAAGCAAAGUCCAAGAAUAUUAGUAUAUGCUUGGCCCGCUUGUAUGCCGAGGCUUCAGCCCAGUCCAACCAACAGCGCCAACCCCCCACCACACCCGUUCCGCCGUCGCUCCGCCUCGUUUUCAAGCUGCCGCCGGAGAAGGACGCAUGCGAAGCACCGCCGCCGACCGCAUCGCCGUCGCCGUCGUCUCCAACGCACGCCUUCUCUACAAGGCAUGCUAGCUUUCCCCUUGUUUGUUUCUUGAUCCCCACUUGAUUUUUUUUCCAUUAGAAUUUGUUGCUUGCGUCAACGUUUCAUCGUCCUGAUCGAUUGAUACGCUGGCUGAACUUUGUUAUUAUUAGAGAUAGAGCCGCAGCUGUUCUCUACUUUGUAGUACAGUCCAUACGUCUUGCCACCAUUAAUUGCUGCGAGAAAGAGUUCCAGAUCGCGUUGCCACUUUGAUAGGGCCGGGCUAGAUUAGAUAUUUAGACUCCCACUUGAUUUAUUUUCUGUAUGUAAGAAAGAAUUUUGAACAUACUGCUAUGGGCCCUAGAUAUUGGAUCGAUGGUAAAUUGGGAAUCAUGGGAUCCAUUGAUCCUCUAUGACUAAGACUACCUCUAUCAGAUACAGAUAGAACUGUAUAGCUGUUCUCUUUGGUCUAUAUAUACAGAUGGAUGUGUUUUCCAUUGCCUUCAAGUAAUCAAUGGUAGCUUAGGGACAUGACAGACUGAGGCAAUGUUAUAAAUAUUUACCCCAUUUGAUUUUCGAUGUAAUUGUCAGCAGCAUAUUGUUUUUCAUGUCAGAGCGCAUAUAUGUUAUCGCUUCUCUACCUGUUGCCUUUUCAAAUGUUCACGUCAUUCUUCUAAUGUUUUUUCUUUUGAUUCAAAAUUUCUUUCAGAGAAGCUGCAGUCGCGGGUAACUCCAAGGUCUGCUGUGUUUGGGUCUGUCCCGUCUGAGGCUCUCAGCUAUGUCCACUCUUCAAGGUUGGCCAGACCUCCCGGAUGACCUGCUUCAUUCCAUUGUUCCUCGAUUGGGAUCCUUCCUUGACCUUCUUGCUUUUGCUGCCGCCUGCUCCUCUUGGCGUGCUGCCUUCUCCUCCUAUCCAUCCAAACACACACUCUUGCAAAUGUUGCCACCUCUCCUCCUCCAACCUGAUGUUCAUGAGUGCCCUCCUCGUCCUCGCCCAUUUAGCAACAGCCUCGUGCCUACACAUUCAUGCCAUGUCACUGAUUUAGCCAACCAAGGUACCUACAUGCGUUGUCAGAUUCCCCGGUUUUCUCCUUUUGGUGAGAGCAAAUCCCCACAAAGUCCUCUAGAUAGUUCUUAUUUUGGGGGUGUUUCCUAUGGUCAUCUCAUCUUGUUUAACCAAAAUCAAUCAUGUCUUGUUAUUGAUGUCUUUACUGGUGUUAGUUUCUCAACUCCGAAACUACCGGUCGAUGAAAACACUUUCCUGGACCAUGCUUCCCUCACGGCUCCUCUGACGUCACCCAACUCAUAUCUCAUGGUCACCAAAGGACGCCACUAUUUCUUUUGGCGUGUUGGUAGUAAAUCUUGGUUGAGACGUUCUCUUCACAAUGGAACGAUCGAGAAGGUCAUGGUUUUCAAAGGACAAAUAUUUGGCAUGGAUAAUGACUGCAGGCUCAUUAUCAUGAACUUGGUACCACGGAUCCGAAUACAGAAAAUAACAGUUGAUCCUGGUGAAAGCAUGCACAACAAAUGGCAUCUUCCCCACCCAUGGCUUGUUGCGUGCGGCGAUAUGCUUCUCCUGGUUGGUUGUCAUCGAUCUUUUCCAUCAACAGGGGAUACGUUUGAAGCUUUCCGCCUCGACCUAACGAGUGAACCUGCAAAGUGGAUGAAGGUGGAAAAGCUAGAAAAUUGGGCAAUCUUCAUCAGCACAGACGACAGAAGCCAGCCAUUGUGUUGCAUGAACCCAGAGAGAUGGGGAGGGAGGAGCAAUUCUAUAUACUUCUAUUUCCAUGAUUCUAAUAAUUGGAUCAAUUUUGAGCUGGACAAGCCACUGCAGGGAAAUGCCUCUACUCCAACAAUCUUUAUCUGCAGAGGCCGUGCCAGUAUGAUGCAACCUACAUGGGUUGUGCCUAGUAUGUUCUAUUCGUGACCUGCUUGAUGCAUGGUCUAUUCAUGACCUGCUUGAUGCAUGGUUAUUACUGCUCGCCGUGGUAGCUUCCCCUAUAAGAUGCCUUGACUUUUAUAUAGGUCUAGCCCAAAGAAAUUUUGAACCUUUGAUAUAGUUGUAGUAUAACCAUGUCAGAUGUAAUUGGAAUAUGGAGUUGUCGGAGCCAAUUUUUAGCCUCUUAGCUCAGCAUGCAUGAAAAUGUUGUUUCAAUUUAUUUUAAGCAAGCUCUCAGCUUGUUCCGAAAAUUUGCUCUUCGAGUAGAGAACAGAACAGUGGCUCAUUUGCAGUUAUGUAGGAGAUGGUCACGGUAGCCGGAGCACUGAGGAUUUUGCAGUUAGUUCAUCCUUGAGGGCUUACUCAAGCUUAUGCGCAUAUAAGACAUGUGUUUAGACCUUAUAAAAGAUGUGUUUAUGCUAGCAUAAGGGCUUAGGGGAUUUCUAACCGAUCCUCAAUAACCAGUUAGAGGAGUAAAAACCCGGUUUUACUUCUCUAACCGGCACCUAGCCGAUCCCCAAUCAACGCUAGUGGAGGAUAAAUUAUCCUCAGCCGCGCCACGCCUCCCUAUAUUUACUCCAUUAUACGGUGGUCGAGUAAAAAAAAUCUCACUUCGUCUCCUCUUCCUCUCCGCUUCCUCCGCUUCUUCUUCUCCCUAUAUUUACUCCAUCAUACGGUGGUCAAGUAAAAAAUGUCCUUACUCAAGCUUAUGCGCUUUCUCACCUCUCAGUUAGCCUUGCUGUUCACUACUCUAUUUUUUUUGCGGGUGCACUACUCAUUCUUUUGCUGUAACGGGCAGGUUUGAACUGCAGUUUUGAGGCAUGUUGGGAGUGGGGCUUUGUGAAUUUUGUGCGCGAGCAAGGGGUUCUUCUUCAGGUGCAUGGUUUCGUUUCAGGUUCGCGUGUCAAACUGAUGACGGAACCAUGCAUAUCGUGUUUUAUGCAAUAUAUAAACUUGAAUAAUAUCAUGCGAAAAGUCUGCCCCAGCAGUCGAUGGUUGUGUUUCCUCGGUUUUGCCACGGAAGCUGGAAUGGGUAGUGUAAUUUUUGAAACUGACGCCGCCGAUCUGAAAGAAGCGGUAAUGACCAUGAUCUUUCAGCGAAGAGGCACUAAUUUCGCCUGCAAAGUUGUAUAUGUGUUCUAAGUGACUAGAGCAUCUCUAGCAGAUCUUGUAAAUCGGGUCAUUUGAAAUAAUAACAACCAAUAUAGCGGACGAGUGCGUUUUUUUUGCCUAAAACAUAUCCAGCAAAAUCAUCCGUCCCCUAUUUUUUUUUGGAAUCCCGCAUAGUUUGGGCCAUUUCCUCUAUAUAUGCGGAAAUCAGACCUGUUUUUGUGGAUUCCUGUAUCGCACAGAAGCAGUUGGCGGGAGUGAAACUUCCGCCCUAGCUUGGCCGGCUGCGUCCACUGCAGGAGCCCGUCCUGGCCGUUGCGUCCCCGUGCUCAAGGUCCGCUGUGCCCCGAGCUCUGUCGUAGGAGCCCGUCCUGGCCGCCACGCUCCUGAGCUCCACCGCACCAACCCGUCCCAGACGCCGCGUCCCCGUGCUCGAGGUCCACCGCGCAAGCCCAUUCCGGCCUCCACGUCCCCGAGCUUCGCCGCAGGAGCCCGUCCGGGCCGCCGCGCCCCCAAGCUCCGCUGUAGGACCCCCUCCCGGCCGCCGCGCCCCCGAGCUCCCCUGCGGGAGCCCGUCCUGGCCGCCGCGUCCCAGUGCUCGAGGUCUGCCACGCCCUUGAGCUCUGCCACGUCCCCGUGCUCGAGGUCCACCACGCCCUUGAGCUCCGCCGCGUCCCUGAUCAGCGUGCUUGCAUCGAAUGGCUUGCUCACAGUGAUAAAAACACCUAUUUUCUCCAUCCAAGGGCGAGCCAGCGCUGCAGGAAAAAUCAAAUUAAGUUUCUCCAAAGACCGGAUGUCAGUGUAACUGAGGACAACACGGAGAUGGAAGAGAUGGUCACGAUUUUUUACUGCACACUCUACACCUCUGGAGGUGUGACUGAUAUUGAUCAAGUUCUAAAUACAGUUCCAGGGAAGGUUACUCCGGCGAUGAAUGAUAUUCUUAAUGCAAAGUACACUCAGGAGGAGAUUAAGGUAGCCAUGUUCCAGAUGUUCCCAACAGAAGCACCAGGUCCAGAUAGGUUCUCAGCCACUUCUUUCAGCGUCACUGGGAUGUUUGUGGGACUGUUGUCAGAACAGUGAUACUUCGAAUUAUUAAUGGAACUGAGCUAGUGAAGAGCAUUAAUGAGACUAUUUUAGUGCUAAUACCAAAGGUAAAGAACCCCACAUUAUUGUCUCAGAUCAGGCCAAUUUCUCUAUGUAAUGUUUUAUGCAAGAUUGUUUCCAAAGUCAUAUCAAACAGAUUGAAGCAAGUUCUACUUGACAUCAUGCAUGUCUGAUGAGCAGCCAACUUUUGUUCCAGGUAGACUUAUCAUGGAUAACAUAAUCAUUGCUUAUGAAUGUCUUCAUUUUAUGAAAAGAAAUAGGGCCAAGAGAAAUAGGUUUUGUGAACUCAAGUUGGAUAUGAUGAAAGCCUAUGAUAGAGUGGAGUGGGACUAUUUACAUGCAAUAAUGAUAAAGCUCGGCUUCACAAUGAGGUGGGUUAAUAUAGUCUUGAGUCUGGCGAUAUCAGUUAAGCUCUCAGUUUUAUUCAAUGGGAAGAAGCUACAAUAGUUUACACCAUCACAUGGUAUUCGACAGGGAACCCAAUUUUUCCAUAUCUAUUCUUGAUUGUAGCAGAGGGCCCUUCGUGCCUCUUAAAAUUUAUCGAUGAGUCAUCCAACCUUACUGGCAUUCGGAUGGCCCCAUUGACGCCACCGGCUAACCAUUUAUUAUAUUCACUGAUGAUAGCCUCGUGUUUUUAAAGCUAGUCUAACUGGGGCUAAUGAGGUAAACUUGUUGAAUAGGUAUUGUCGGGCUUCUGGAGAACACAUAAACAAUGAGAAAUCUUUGAUCUAUUUCAGUUUGGGCUGUCCGAAAAAGUGUGAGGUUGGAAGUUAAGAACGUACUACAAGUUCCAAAUGAGUCACUGAGUGCAAAAUAUAUAAGCCUUCUUGUUGGGAAACGUUGCAUGGAAAACAUAAAAAUUCUACGCACACACAAGAUCUAUCUAUGGAGAUGCAUAGUAACUAGAGGGAAGAGUUUUUUUACGUACCCCCGUAGACCGUAAGUGGAAGCUUUUAGUAAUGCGGUUGAUGUAGUUGAACUUGUUCGUGAUCCAACCGAUCGAGUACCGAACGUACGACACCUCCGCGUUCAGCAUACGUUCAGCUCGGUGACGUCCUCGCCUUCUUGAUCCAACAAGACGACGAAGUAGUGGAUGAGUUCCGGUAGCACGCCAGCGUGGUGAUAGAGGUGGUGAUGCUAUCUCCGCAGGGUUCGCCUAAGCAUUACGAAAAUAUGACCGAGGGACAAAACUAUGAAGAGGGACACCUCACAUAGCUAAGAGAUUGUCGUGGUUAUGUGUGGCGCCCCCUCCCACAUAUAUAUAGGUGGGGGGAAGAGGGGAGUAGCCAGGAGGCGCCCCAAGUAGUAGGGCCGAAUCCUACUUGGGCUCUUGCCUUGGCCGCCCCCCUUACCAUAUAUGCCGGAGGGGGAAAGGAAAGUGGGGAGAGGGAAGGAAGGGGGAGGCCGAAUCCCCCUCCUGCCUUUCUCCCAUAGGCCGGCUGCCAUAGGGGGGUGCACCAGCCCCUUGUGGGCUGGUGUGCUCCCCUCUAAUGGCCCAAUAGGCCCAUCAUCCUCCCGGGGGUGCCCGGAACCCCUUCCGAUGAUCCGAUGACUACCCGGUGCACUACGAAACUCUUUCGGUGUCUGAAUAUCAUCGUCUUAUAUAUCAAUAUUUACCUCCGGACCAUUCCGGAGCUCCUCGUCAUGUCUGUGAUCUCAUCUGGGACUUCGAACAAUAUUUGGUCACCAAAUCAUAUACUCCCUCCGUUCACUUUUGUAAGUCGUUUCAGACAACCCAAAAUAGGCUGUUUUGCACAUUGUCUGAAAUCUCUUCAAGGUCUUAUAAAAGUGAACAGAGGGAGUAACUCAUAUAACACCAUAUCGUCAAUGAACGUUAAGCAUGCGGAUCCUACGGGUUCGAGAACUAUGUAGACAUGACCGAGACACCUCUCCGGUUAAUAACCAACAGCGGAACCUAAACGCCCAUUUUGGCUCCUACAUAUUCCAUGAAGAGCUUUAUCGGUCGAACCUUAUGACAACAUACGUAAUUCCCUUUGUCCGUCGGUAUGUUACUUGCCCGAGAUUCGAUCGUCGGUAUCUUCAUACCUAGUUCAAUCUCGUUACCGGCAAGUCUCUUUACUUGUUCGGUAAUACAUCAUCUCGUAACUAACUCCUUAGUCACUUUGCUUGCAAGCUUCUUGUGAUGUGUAUUACCGAGUGGGCCUAGAGAUACCUCUCUGAUAUAUGGAGUGACAAAUCCUAAUCUCGAUCUAUGCCAACUCAACAAACACCUUCGGAGAUACCUGUAGAGCAUCUUUAUGAUCACCCACUUACGUUUGUGAUGUUUGAUAGCACACAAGGCAUUCCUCCGGUAUCCAGAAGUUGCAUAAUCUCAUAGUCUAAGGAAUAUGUAUUUGACAUUAAGAAAGCAAUAACAAUAAACUGAAUGAUCAAAUGCUAAGCUAACGGAUGGGUCUUGUCCAUCACAUCAUUCUCCUAAUGAUGUGAUCCUGUUACCAAGUGACAACACAUGUCUAUGGUUAGGAAACCUUAACCAUCUUUGAUCAACGAGUUAGUCUAGUAGAGGCUCACUAGGGACACGGUAUUUGUUUAUAUAUCCACACAUGUAUCUAAGUUUCCAAUCAAUACAAUUAUAGCAUAAAUAAUAAUCUUUUAUCAUGAAUAAGGAAAUAUAAAAUAACAACUUUAUUAUUACCUCUAGGGCAUAUUUCCUUCACUUCCAUCAUGUGGGGUCAUCAAAGAACGGUUCAUUUAAGUACCUGAUAUGUCUCCAAUGUAUCUAUAAUUUUUGAUUGUUUCAUGCUAUUAUAUUAUCAAUCUUGGAUGCUUUAUAUGCAAUUUUAUAUCAGUUUUAGGAACUAACCUAUUAAUUCAGUUCCCAGUGCCAGUUCCUAUCUUCUGCAUGUUUUUAGUUUUUUUAGAAAAUCAAUACCAAACAAAGUCUAGAUACGAUGAAACUUUACGGUGAUUUGUUCUGGACCAUAUGGGACCCUAGAAGCUUCGGGAGGAGGCCAGAAGAUCUACGGGAGAGCCACAAGCUCACACGACGCGCCCCGAGGGGGGGCACCAUCUGAGCUUGUGGGUCCCACGUAGCUCCGUUUGACUUAAUGACAAGGCUAUAAAUUACAUAAAUCCCAAAACCAAAAUAGAGCCGUCCGAAACAAUUUUUUCACCGCCGCAAGUUUCUGUUCUUCCGCGAUCCCAUCUGAAGGCAUUUUUUGAUACUCUGCCGGAGGGGGAAUCAUUCACGGAGGGCUUUUAUAUCAACUUUUCUGCACCACUAAUGAUGUGUGAGUAGAUACCUACGGGUGCAUAGUGAUUAGCUAGAUGGUUUCUUCUCUCUCUUUGAUUUUCAAUUACAAUGUUCUUUUUGGAGAUCGAUCCGACGUAAUCUUCUUGCGGUGUGUUUGUUGGGAUCCGAUGAAUUGUGGGUUUAUGAUUGUAAUAUUCAUUAAAAGUAAUUGAGUUUUUUCUGAACUUUAUUAUGGAUGAUUAUUAUAUCUUUAUAUUUCUCUCUGAUCUACCCAUUUGGUUUGGCCAACUAGGCUGAUUUGUCGUCGAUGGGAGAGGUGCUUUAUAGUGGGUUCAAUCUUGCGGUGUCCUCGCCAGUGAGUAGGGGUAUCGAGGCACGUAUUUGUAUUGUUGCCACUAAGGGUAAAACAAUGGAUUUAAUCAUAUUGCUUGGUUUUAUUCUAUCUACAUUAUAUCAUCUUUCUUAAAGCAUUACUCUAUUUAUUAUGAACUUAAUACAAUAGAUGCAUGCUGGACAACGGUCGAAUGGUGGAGUGAUAGUAGUAGAUGUAGAAUCGUUUCAGCCUACUUGUCAUGGACAUAAUGCCUAUAUAUAUGAUCAUUGCCAUAAAUAUCAUCAUAACUAUGACCUUUUCUAUUAAUUGCCCAAUUGUAAUUUGUCUACCCACCAUAUACUAUUUUUCUAAGAGAGAAGCCUCUAGUGUAAACUAUGGCCCCCGAGUCUACUUAAAUCAUAUUGCAAAAAAACCUAGUUUUACUCUUUUUAUUUUACUUUGCAGUUUACUUAUCUGUCGUUAUCAGAUUUGAUCCUUGCAAGUAACGAGUUCAAGGGGAUUGACAGACAACCCUCUUGCCCGCAUUGGAUGCAAGUAUUUGCUCUUGUGUGUGUAGAUAAUGUUCACUAGGAAUUUGCAUGGUUCUCCUAUUGAUUCAAUAACCCUGGUUCUCAUUGAUGGAAAUACUAUCUACUACUAUAUUGCUUCAUCUUCCUCUUCGGAGAAAAUCCCAACGCAGCUCACAAGUAGCAGUACCUUAAGGACUACCUAUGGAGUAAAGUGCAAGGGUGAAUUGAACAAACUAUGACAUUGGCAGGUGAAGUGGUCUUGGUAAAGGCGGUUGCCUUGCAGCACCUGUGUAUUCUAUGUCAUGUUUGAAGCUUCCGUGAGGUUUGUGUGAACAUCUUAAAAUGUUGAUAAGGAAGUUUUGGUGGGGAAGUAAGGAUGGAAAACAAAAACCUAAUUGGGUUUCUUGCGAAGCCAUGACCCAACCCAAGAGUAUGGGAGGAUUGGGCUUUAAAGAUUUUGGGUUGUUUAACUUGGCCUUACUAGCUAAGCAGGCAUGGAGAACUUACGAAAUCCUCAAUCUCUAAGUGCUAGAAUCUUGAAAGGGGUUUACUUUCCAAAUGGAACCAUCCUGAGUGCCGAUCCUAGGAGCCAUCCUAGCCAAAUAUGGCGAGCUAUCAUUGGAGGCUGUGACAUAUUAAAGUUGGGUCUCAUUAGGCGGAUUGGCGGCGGAGAAUCAACUAACAUAUGGGUAGAUGCUUGGAUACCUACAGAUGUUAUGACGAGGCCUUAUGGGAGGCGUGUCAACAACAAUUUUGGGAAAGUAUCCGAACUCAUAGAUCAAACUUCGACCACAUGGAAUAUGGCAAUGUUGGAGGAGGUCUGCCUCCCAAUUGAUAUACCAUGUAUCUUGAGUAUCCUACUCUGUACUUCUGAUAUGGUGGACUCUUGGGCAUGGAAUUUUAAGAAAUGGAACCUACUCGGUAAGAUCAACAUAUCAUAUGAUGGUACAAACUGAAUUAAGAAGGGGAGCCUGGACUGAUGGCAAAACAGAUUCUUCUAGUACAUAAUAUGAUGAAGAGUCUUGGAAACUUCUAUGGAACACUCCGAUUCCUAGAAAGAUUCGGAUGGUCUUAUGGCGUCUCGCUAAACACUCGCUCCCAAUAGAGGACAUUAGAGAGAUUAGGAAUAUGUCAUCAUCAAGUUUGGGUGGCCUGCGUGGAGCCGAAGACUCUUGGCGUCAUUCACUACUUGCAUGCUCAAUGGCAAGAUGUUUGUGGGCCCUGUUGGAUGGAGAACUCGCAGAACAUCUUUGCGAGACUACCGAACCGAGUGCCAAGUAAUGGAUCUUUUUGAUGAUAGACACGUUAUUGCAUGCGACAUUUGUUAAGCUAGUUGUAACACUGUGGGCAAUAUAGUGAGCCAGAAGGAAAGCAAUCCAUGAGGAGUUGUUCCAAAGCCCUCCAGCCACACACCAAUUCAUUACCAGGUUAAUCCUAGAGCUUGAACUUAUGCCAAAGAAAAUUCGCAGUGCCCGAAUCGGCAGGCAAGUCGAACUACCCGACCAAAAGCUCCUCCACCCAGUUACUCAAAGAUCCAUGUUGAUGCUUGUUGAGGAGAGGAGAAGGAAUGGGAUUCAACACACUUCGAUUAUGCUCAGAGGCUGGGUUUAAGUAUAGGUUGCUGUUCUCAGCUGAGCCAAGAUCGUGGGUAUGCCACUACCUCAGGACGUGCACCACUAGCUAUACAACUGCUGCACGAUCCGUACUAUACCGUAUGGUAAACUAUACAAGGUGCAUACGGUAUAUAACUACCUAGUCUAACACCCCUCGCAGUCGUGACGUCGGUACCAGCGACGCAAAGACUGGACCGGAAUUCAGAGAAAACUUCCGUCGACAGGCCUUUGGUCAUGAUAUCGGUGAGCUGUUGGCGAGUGGGGAUGUGGAGAACACGGAACUCGCCGAGCGCCACCCGUUCACGGACGAAGAGGAUGUCCAGCUCGAUGUGCUUCAUGCGGCGGUGAUGGACUGGAUUGGCAGACAGGUACACGACCGACACAUUGUCGCAGUAGACGAGCGUGGCCUUGUCGACGGGGCAGAAGAGCUCGCCGAGCAGCUGCCGGAGCCAGAUACAUUCAGCGAUGGCGUUGGCGACGCCGGGGUAUUCAGCCUCUGCACUGGAGCGGGAGACGACGGCCUAGCAUUUGGACGACCAGGAGACGAGCGCGUCACCGAGGUAGAUGCAGAAGCCGAAGGUAGAGCGGCGGGUGUCUGGGCAGCCCGCCCAGUCCGCGCCCGUGAACGCGCGCAGGUCCAGAGUGCGUGAGGCACGGAGAUGGAGCCCGAGCGCCGGCGUGCUGCGCACGUACCGCAACACACGCUUGAUCAACCCGAGAUGGCACUCCCGAGGAUCAUGCAUAUGCAAGCAGAUCUAUUAGACGGCGUAGGCGAGCUCGGGGCGUGUGAUCGUCAGGUACUGCAGGGCACCGGCGAUGCUGCGGUAGGCGGAGGGGUCGGCGACGCGAGGCCCAUCGGCGGUGGGCAGCUUGCUCUUCGUGUCGAUCGGCGUGGGCGAGGGCCGACAUGUGUCCAUGCCAGCGCGGUCCAGGAUAUCGGCAGCAUACUGCUGCUGACAAAGGAAGAAGCCGAUUGGCGAGCGCGUGAGGCGGAUGCCGAGGAAGAAGUGAAGAGCCCCGAGAUCCUUCAUGGCAAAUUCAUCGGUGAGCUGGGCGACAACGUGGCGAAGAGCGGCGGCAGAUGAUGCGGUGAGCACGAUGUCAUCGACGUAGAGAAGGAGGAGCGCAGUGUCGCAGCCGUGGCGACAAACGAGGAGCGAAGAGUCGGACCGCGUGGCGACGAAGCCGGUAGUCUUGAGGAAGCCAGCAAAUCGAAGAAACCAUGCGCGCGGCGCUUGCUUCAAGCCGUAGAGGGACUUGGAUAGGCGACAGACGUGGUGUGGGCGGUCGGCGUCAACGAAGCCAGCAGGCUGAAGGUAGAAGACCUCCUCAUCCAGCGUACCAUGGAGGAAUGCAUUGGAUACGUCAAGCUGAUGGACCGGCCAGACACGCGAGGCAGCCAGGGUGAGCACGGUGCGGAUGGUAGCGGGCUUGACGACCAGUGAGAAGGUCUCGCCGUAGUCGAUGCCGGCACGCUGGCGAAAACCUCGCACAACCCAGCGGGCCUUGUAACGCUCGAGGGAGCCGUCGACGUUGUACUUGUGCUUGAAGACCCAUUUGCCGGUGAUGAGGUUGGCACCGGGCGGACUGCUACGUCUUGAGCUUGCAUUGGUUUUCCCCGAAGAGGAAGGGAUGAUGCAGCAGAGUAGCGUAAGUAUUUCCCUUAGUUUUUGAGAACCAAGGUAUCAAUCUAGUAGGAGGCCACGCGCAAGUCCCUCGUACCUACACAACACAAAGAGCUCAGCGCAACCAAUGCGAUUAGGGGUUGUCAAUCCCUUCACGGUCACUUACAGAAAUGAGAUCCGAUAAAUAAUAUUUUUGGUAUUUUUGAUAUAAAGAUGCAAAGUGAAAAGUAAAAGGCAAAGUAAAAACAAAACAAGAUUAAAGUGAUGGAGAUUGAUAUGAUGAUAAUAGACCCGGGGGCCAUAGGUUUCACUAGUGGCUUCUCUCGAGAGCAUAAGUUUUCUACGGUGGGUGAACAAAUUACUGUUGAGAAAUUGACAGAAUUGAGCAUAGUUAUGAGAAUAUCUAGGCAUGAUCAUGUAUAUAGGCAUCACGUCCGUGACAAGUAGAUCGAAACAAUUCUGCAUCUACUACUAUUACUCCACUCAUCGACGCUAUCCAGCAUGCAUCUAGAGUAUUAAGUUAAAAACAGAGUAACACUUUAAGCAAGAUGACAUGAUGUAGAGAGAUAAAUUCAUGCAAUAUGAAAUAAACCCCAUCUUGUUAUCCUCGAUGGCAACGAUACAAUACGUGUCUUGCUGCCCCUUCUGUCACUGGGAAAGAACACCGCAAGAUCGAACCUAAAGCUAAGCACUUCUCCCAUGGCAGGAACUACCAAUCUAGUAGGCCAAACCAAACGGAUAAUUCGAAGAGACUUGCAAAGAUAACCAAUCAUACAUAAAAGAAUUUAGAGAAGAUUCAAAUAUUGUUCAUAGAUAGACUUGAUCAUAAACCCACAAUUCAUCGGUCUCAACAAACACACCGCAAAAGAAGAAGAUUACAUCGAAUAGAUCUCCACAAGAGAGGGGGAGAACAUUGUAUUGAGAUCCAAAAAGAGAGAAGAAGCCAUCUAGCUACUAACUAUGGACCCGAAGGUCUGAAGUAAACUACUCACACUUCAUCGGAGGGGCUAUGAUGAUGUACAAGCCCUCCAUGAUGACGACCCUCUCCGGCGGAGCUCCGGAACAGGCCCCAAGAUGGGAUCUCGUGGAUACAGAAAGUUGCAGCGGUGGAAUUAGGUUUUUGGCUCCUGUUCUGAUCGUUUGGGGGUACGUGGGUAUAUAUAGGAGGAAGGAGUACAUCGGUGGAGCACCGAGGGGCCCACGGGGCAGGGGGCACACCCUGUAGGGGGGGGGGGGGCGCCCCUACCCUCGUGACCGCCUCCGGUACUUCUUGGAGUAGGGUCCAAGUCUCCUGGGUCUUAUCCGAGAAGAAAAUCACGUUCCAAAAAGGUUUUUUCUGUUUGGACUCCGUUUGAUAUUCUGUUUCUUCAAAACACUGAAAUAGGCAAAAACAGCAAUUCUGGGCUGGGCCUCCGGUUAAUAGGUUAGUCCCAAAAAUAAUAUAAAAGUGGAAAAUAAAGCCCAAUAUAGUCCAAAACAGUAGAUAAUAUGUUGGGGAACGUAGUAAUUUCGAAAAUUUUCCUACGCACACGCAAGAUCAUGGUGAUGCAUAGCAACGAGGGGGAGAGUGUUGUCUACGUACCAACGCAGACCGACUGCGGAAGCGAUCACACAACAUAGAGGAAGUAGUCGUACAUCUUCUUCCCGAUCCAACCGAUCCAAGCACCGUUACUCCGGCACCUCCGAGUUCUUAGCACACGUUCAGCUCGAUGACGAUCCUCGUGCUCCGAUCCAGCAAAGCGUCGAGGAAGAGUUCCGUCAGCACAACGGCGUGGUGACGAUCUUGAUGUACUACCGACGCAGGGCUUCGCCUAAGCUCUACAACGAUAGGACCGAGGUGGAAUUUGGUGGCAGGGGGCACCGCACACGGCUAAGGAACGAUCAACAAUGAUCAACUUGUGUGUCUAUGGGGUGCCCCCUGCCCCUGUAUAUAAAGGAGCAGGGGGAGGGGUUCGGCCGGCUAGGGAGAGGGCGCGGGAGGAGUCCUACUCCUACCGGGAGUAGGACUCCCCCCUUAAUCCUAUUCCAACUAGGACUCCCAAGGGGAAAAGGAGAGAAAGGGGGGCCGGCCCCUUCUCCUAGUCCUACUAGGACUUGGGGAAAGGGGGGGGGGGCGCGGCCAGCUAUGGGCUGCCCCUUUUCUCUUUUCCACUAAGGCCCAAUAGGCCCAUUUGCCUCCCGGGGGGUUCCGGUAACCCUCCCGGUAUUCCGGUAAAAUCCCGAUUUCACCCGGAACACUUCCGGUGUCCAAACAUAGGCUUCCAAUAUAUAAAUCUUUACGUCUCGACCAUUUCGAGACUCCUCGUCAUGUCCGUGAUCACAUCCGGGACUCCGAACAACCUUCGGUACAUCAAAAUGCAUAAACUCAUAAUAACUGUCAUCGUAACGUUAAGCGUGCGGACCCUACGGUUCGAGAACAAUGUAGACAUGACCGAGACAUGUCUCCGGUCAAUAACCAAUAGCGGGACCUGGAUGCCCAUAUUGGCUCCUACAUAUUCUACGAAGAUCUUUAUCGGUCAGACCGCAUAACAACAUACGUUGUUCCCUUUGUCAUCGGUAUGUUACUUGCCCGAGAUUCGAUCGUCGGUAUCCAAUACCUAGUUCAAUCUCGUUACUGGCAAGUCUCUUUACUCGUUUCCGUAAUACAUCAUCUCAUAACUAACAUCUUAGUUAUUAUGCUUGCAAGGCUUAUGUGAUGUGUAUUACCGAGAGGGCCCAGAGAUACCUCUCCGACAAUCGGAGUGACAAAUUCUAAUCUCGAAAUACGCCAACCCAACAUCUACCUUUGGAGACACCUGUAGUACUCCUUUAUAAUCACCCAGUUACGUUGUGACGUUUGGUAGCACCCAAAGUGUUCGUCCGGUAAACGGGAGUUGCAUAAUCUCAUAGUCAUAGGAACAUGUAUAAGUCAUGAAGAAAGCAAUAGCAACAUACUAAACGAUCGGUGCUAAGCUAAUGAAAUGGGUCAUGUCAAUCAGAUCAUUCAACUAAUGAUGUGACCUCAUUAAUCAAAUAACAACUCUUUGUUCAUGGUUAGGAAACAUAACCAUCUUUGAUUAACGAGCUAGUCAAGUAGAGGCAUACUAGCGACACUCUGUUUGUCUAUGUACUCACACAUGUAUUAUGUUUCCGGUUAAUACAAUUCUAGCAUGAAUAAUAAACAUUUAUUAUGAUAUAAGGGAAUAAAUAAUAACUUUAUUAUUGCCUCUAGGGCAUAUUUCCUUCAGAGUCCCACUUGCACUAGAGUCAAUAAUCUAGAUCACAUCUCCAUGUGAUUAACAUCGAUAGUUCACAUCAUCAUGUGAUUAACACCCAUAGUUCACAUCGCCAUGUGACCAACACCCAAAAGGUUUACUAGAUUCGGUAAUCUAGUUCACAUCGUUAUGUGAUUAACACCCAAAGAGUACUAAGGUGUGAUCAUGUUUUGCUUGUGAGAGAAUUUUAGUCAACAAGUCUGCCACAUUCAGAUCCACAUGUAUUUUGCAAAUUUCUAUGUCAACAAUGCUCUGCAUGGAGCUACUCUAGCUAAUUGCUCCCACUUUCAAUAUGUAUCUAGACCGAGACUUAGAGUCAUCUAGAUUAAUGUCAAAACUUGCAUCGGCGUAACCCUUUACGACGAACCUUUUUAUCACGUCCAUAAUCGAGAAACAUAUCCUUAUUUCACUAAGGAUAAUUCUGACCGUUGUCCAGUGAUCUACUCCUAGAUCACUAUUGUACUCCCUUGCCAAAUCAGUGCAGGGUAUACAAUAGAUCUGGUAUACAGCAUGACAUACUUUAUAGAACCUAUGGCCAAGGCAUAGGGAAUGACUUUCAUUCUCUUUCUAUCUUCUGCCGUGGUCGGGCUUUGAGUCUUACUCAACUUCACACCUUAUAAUACAGGCAAGAACUCUUUCUUUGACUGCUCCAUUUUGAACUACUUCAAAAUCCUAUCAAGGUAUGUACUCAUUGAAAAAACUUAUCAAGCGUCUUGAUCUAUCUCUAUAGAUCUUGAAGCUCAAUAUGUAAGCAGCUUCACCGAAGUCUUUCUUUGAAAAACUCCUUUCAAACACUCCUUUAUGCUUUACAGAAUAAUUCUACAUUAUUUCCGAUCAACAAUAUGUCAUUCACAUAUACUUAUCAGAAAUGUUGUAGUGCUCCCAUUCACUUUCUUGUAAAUACAGGCUUCACCGCAAGUCUGUAUAAAACUAUAUGCUUUGAUCAACUCAUCAAAGCGUAUAUUCCAACUCCGAGAUGCUUGCACCAGUCCACAGAUGGAUCGCUGGAGCUUGCACAUUUUGUUAGCACCUUUCAGAUUGACAAAACCUUCUGUUGCAUCAUAUACAACUCUUCUUUAAUAAAUCCAUUAAGGAAUGCAUUUUUGUUUAUCCAUUUGCCAGAAUUCAUAAAAUGCGGCAAUUACUAACAUGAUUCGGACAGACUCAAGCAUAGAUACGAGUGAGAAGCUCUCAUCGUAGUCAACACCUUGAACUUGUCGAAAACCUUUUGCGACAAUUCUAGCUUUGUAGACAGUAAUAUUACCGUCAGCGUCAGUCUUUUUCUUGAAUAUCCAUUUAUUCUCAAUUGCUUGCCGAUCAUCGGGCAAGUCAACCAAAGUCCAUACUUUGUUCUCAUACAUGGAUCCCAUCUCAGAUUUCAUGGCCUCAAGCCACUUUGCGGAAUCUGGGCUCACCAUCGCUUCUUCAUAGUUCGUAGGUUCAUCAUGAUCUAGUAGCAUGACUUCCAGAAUUGGAUUACCGUACCACUCUAGUGCGGAUCUCACUCUGGUUGAUCUACAUGGUUCAGUAGUAUCUUGUCCUGAAGUUUCAUGAUCAUCAUCAUUAGCUUCCUCACUAAUUGGUAUAGGUGUCGCAGAAAUAGUUUUCUGUGAUGUACUAUUUUCCAAUAAGGGAGCAGGUACAGUUACCUCGUCAAGUUCUACUUUCCUCCCACUCACUUCUUUCGAGAGACACUCCUUCUCUAGAAAUGAUCCAUUCUUAGCAACGAAUGUCUUGCCUUCGGAUCUGUGAUAGAAGGUGUACCCAACAGUCUCCUUUGGGUAUCCUAUGAAGACACAUUUCUCCGAUUUGGGUUUGAGCUUAUCAGGAUGAAACUUUUUCUCAUAAGCAUCGCAACCCCAAACUUCAAGAAACGACAACUUUGGUUUCUUGCCAAACCACAGUUCAGAUUGUGUCGUCUCAACGGACUUAGAUGGUGCCCCUUUUUAACGUGAAUGCAGUUGUCUCUAAUGCAUAACCCCAAAAACGAUAGUGGUAAAUCGGUAAGAAACAUCAUAGAUUGCACUAUAUCCAAUAAAGUACGGUUAUGACGUUCGGACACACCAUUAUGCUGUGGUGUUCCAGGUGGCGUGAGUAGUGAAACUAUUUCACAUUGUUUUAACUGAAGACCAAACUCGUAACUCAAAUACUCUUUUCUACGAUCAGAUCAUAGAAACUUUAUUUUCUUGUUACGAUGAUUUUUCACUUCACUCUGAAAUUCUUUGAACUUUUCAAAUGUUUCAGACUUAUGUUUCAUCAAGUAGAUAUACUCAUAUCUGCUCAAAUCGUCUGUGAAGAUCAGAAAAUAAUGAUACCUGUCGCGAGCCUUAAUAUUCAUCGGACCACAUACAUCAGUAUGUAUGAUUUCCAACAAAUCUGUUUCUUGCUCCAUUGUUCCGAAGAACAGAGUUUUAGUCAUCUUACCCAAAAGGCAUGGUUCGCAAGCAUCAAGUGAUUCAUAAUCAAGUGAUUCCGAAAGCCCAUCAGCAUGGAGUUUCUUCAUGCGCUUUAUACCAAUAUGACCUAAACGGCAGUGCCACAAAUAAGUUGCACUAUCAUUAUUAACUUUGCAUCUUUUGGUUUCAAUAUUAUGAAUAUGUGUAUCACUACGAUCGAGAUCCAACGAACUUGUUUCAUUGGGUGUAUGACCAUCGAAGGUUUUAUUCAUGUAAACAGAACAACAAUUAUUCUCUUACUUAAAUGAAUAACCGUAUUACAAUAAACAUGAUCAAAUCAUAUUCAUGCUCAACGCAAACACCAAAUAACACUUAUUUAGGUUCAACACUAAUCCCGAAAGUAUAGGGAGUGUGCGAUGAUGAUCAUAUCAAUCUUGGAACCACUUCCAACACACAUCGUCACUUCACCCUUAACUAGUCUCUGUUCAUUCUGCAACUCCCGUUUCGAGUUACUACUCUUAGCAACUGAACUAGCAUCAAAUACUGAGGGGUUGCUAUAAACACUAGUAAAGUACACAUCAAUAACAUGUAUAUCAAAUAUACUUAUGUUCACUUUGCCAUCCUUCUUAUCCGCCAAUCACUUGGGGUAGUUCCGCUUCCAGUGACCAGUCCCUUUGCAGUAGAAGCACUUAGUCUCAGGCUUAGGAUCAGACUUGGGCUUCUUCACUUGAGCAGCAACUUGCUUGCCGUUCUUCUUGAAGUUCCCCUUCUUCCCUUUUGCCCCCUUUUUUUCAAACUAGUGGUCUUGUCAACCAUCAACACUUGAUGUUUUUCUUGAUUUCUACCUUCAUCGAUUUCAGCAUCACGAAGAGCUUGGGAAUCGUUUCCGUUAUCCCUUGCAUAUCAUAGUUCAUCACGAAGUUCUACUAACUUGGUGAUGGUGACUAGAGAAUUCUGUCAAUCACUAUCUUAUCUGGAAGAUUAACUCCCACUUGAUUCAAGCGAUUGUAGUACCCAGACAAUCUGAGCACAUGCUCACUAGUUGAGCGAUUCUCCUCCAUCUUUUAGCUAUAGAACUUGUUGGAGACUUCAUAUCUCUCAACUCGGGUAUUUGCUUGAAAUAUUAACUUCAACUCCUGGAACAUCUCAUAUGGUCCAUGACGUUCAAAACGUCUUUGAAGUCCCGAUUCUAAGCCAUUAAGCAUGGUGCACUAAACUAUCAAGUAGUCAUCAUAUUGAGCUAGCCAAACAUUCAUAACGUCUGCAUCUGCUCCUGCAAUAGGUCUGUCACCUAGCGGUGCAUCAAGGACAUAAUUUUUCUGUGCAGCAAUGAGGAUAAACCUCAUAUCACGGAUCCAAUCCAUAUCAUUGCUACUAACAUCUUUCAACACAAUUUUCUCUAGGAACAUAUCAAAAUAAACAUAUGAAAGCAACAACGCGAGCUAUUGAUCUUCAACAUAGAUAUGCUAAUACUACCAGGACUAAGUUCAUGAUAAAUUAAAGUUCAAUUAAUCAUAUUACUUAAGAACUCCCACUUAGAUAGACAUCCCUCUAAUCCUCUAAGUGAUCACGUGAUCCAAAUCAACUAAACCAUAACCGAUCAUCACGUGAGAUGGAGUAGUUUUCAAUGGUGAACAUCGUUAUGUUGAUCAUAUCUACUAUAUGAUUCACGCUCGACCUUUCGGUCUCUGUGUUCCGAGGCCAUAUCUGCAUAUGCUAGGCUCGUCAAGUUUAACCUGAGUAUUCUGCGUGUGCAAAACUGGCUUGCACCCGUUGUAGAUGGACGUAGAGCUUAUCACACCCGAUCAUCACGUGGUGUCUGGGCACGACGAACUUUGGCAACGGUGCAUACUCAGGGAGAACACUUCUUGAUAAUUCAGUAAGAGAUCAUCUUAUAAUGCUACCGUCAAUCAAAGCAAGAUAAGAUGCAUAAAAGAUAAACAUCACAUGCAAUCAAUAUAAGUGAUAUGAUAUGGCCAUCAUCAUCUUGUGCUUGUGAUCUCCAUCUCCAAAGUACUGUCAUGAUCUAUAUCGUCACCGGCAUGACACCAUGAUCUCCAUCAUCUUGAUCUAUAUCAAUGUGUCGUCACGUGGUCGUCUCGCCAACACUUGCUCUUGCAACUAUUGCUAUCGCAUAGCGAUAAAGUAAAGCAAUUAUUGGGCGCUUGCAUCUUAUGCAAUAGAUAGACAACCAUAAGGCUUUUGCCAGUUGCCCAUAACUUCAACAAAACAUGAUCAUCUUAUACAACAACUUAUAACUCAUCACGUUUUGACCAUAUCACAUCACAACAUGCCCUGCAAAAACAAGUUAGACGUCCUCUACUUUGUUGUUGCAAAUUUUACGUGGCUGCUACGGGCUUAGCAAGAACCAAUCUUACCUACGCAUCAAAACCACAACGAUAGUUUGUCAAAUAGACUCCGUUUUAACCUUCGCAAGGACCGGGCGUAGCCACACUCGCUUCAACUAAAGUUGGAGAAACAGUCACCCGCAAGUCACCUAUGUGCAAAGCACGUCGGGGAAACCGGUCUCGCGUAAGCGUACGCGUAAUGUCGGUCCGGGCCGCUUCAUCCAACAAUACCGCCGAACAAAAGUAUGACAUGCUGGUAGGCAGUAUGACUUAUAUCACCCACAACUCACUUGUGUUCUACUCGUGCAUAUAACAUCAAACCAUAAAACCUAGGCUCGGAUGCCACUGUUGGGGAACGUAGUAAUUUCGAAAAUUUUCCUACGCACACGCAAGAUCAUGGUGAUGCAUAGCAACGAGGGGGAGAGUGUUGUCUACGUACCAACGCAGACCGACUGCGGAAGCGAUCACACAACAUAGAGGAAGUAGUCGUACGUCUUCUUCCCGAUCCAACCGAUCCAAGCACCGUUACUCCGGCACCUCCGAGUUCUUAGCACACGUUCAGCUUGAUGACGAUCCUCGUGCUCCGAUCCAGCAAAGCGUCGAGGAAGAGUUCCGUCAGCACAACGGCGUGGUGACGAUCUUGAUGUACUACCGACGCAGGGCUUCGCCUAAGCUCUACAACGAUAUGACCGAGGUGGAAUUUGGUGGCAGGGGGCACCGCACACGGCUAAGGAACGAUCAACAAUGAUCAACUUGUGUGUCUAUGGGGUGCCCCCUGCCCCCGUAUAUAAAGGAGCAGGGGGAGGGGUUCGGCCGGCUAGGGAGAGGGCGCGGGAGGAGUCCUACUCCUACCGGGAGUAGGACUCCCCCCCUUAAUCCUAUUCCAACUAGGACUCCCAAGGGGAAAAGGAGAGAAAGGGGGGCCGGCCCCUUCUCCUAGUCCUACUAGGACUUGGGGAAAGGGGGGGGGGCGUGGCCAGCUAUGGGAUGCCCCUUUUCUCUUUUCCACUAAGGCCCAAUAGGCCCAUUUGCCUCCCGGGGGGUUCCGGUAACCCUCCCGGUAUUCCGGUAAAAUCCCGAUUUCACCCGGAACACUUCCGGUGUCCAAACAUAGGCUUCCAAUAUAUCAAUCUUUACGUCUCGACCAUUUCGAGACUCCUCGUCAUGUACGUGAUCACAUCCGGGACUCCGAACAACCUUCGGUACAUCAAAAUGCAUAAACUCAUAAUAACUGUCAUCGUAACGUUAAGCGUGCGGACCCUACGGUUUGAGAACAAUGUAGACAUGACCGAGACAUGUCUCCGGUCAAUAACCAAUAGCGGGACCUGGAUGCCCAUAUUGGCUCCUACAUAUUCUACGAAGAUCUUUAUCGGUCAGACCGCAUAACAACAUACGUUGUUCCCUUUGUCAUCGGUAUGUUACUUGCCCGAGAUUCGAUCGUCGGUAUCCAAUACCUAGUUCAAUCUCGUUACUGGCAAGUCUCUUUACUCGUUUCUGUAAUACAUCAUCUCAUAACUAACAUCUUAGUUAUUAUGCUUGCAAGGCUUAUGUGAUGUGUAUUACCGAGAGGGCCCAGAGAUACCUCUUUGACAAUCGGAGUGACAAAUUCUAAUCUCGAAAUACGCCAACCCAACAUCUACCUUUGGAGACACCUGUAGUACUCCUUUAUAAUCACCCAGUUACGUUGUGACGUUUGGUAGCACCCAAAGUGUUCCUCCGGUAAACGGGAGUUGCAUAAUCUCAUAGUCAUAGGAACAUGUAUAAGUCAUGAAGAAAGCAAUAGCAACAUACUAAACGAUCGGGUGCUAAGCUAAUGAAAUGGGUCAUGUCAAUCAGAUCAUUCAACUAAUGAUGUGACCUCGUUAAUCAAAUAACAACUCUUUGUUCAUGGUUAGGAAACAUAACCAUCUUUGAUUAACGAGCUAGUCAAGUAGAGGCAUACUAGUGACACUCUGUUUGUCUAUGUACUCACACAUGUAUUAUGUUUCCGGUUAAUACAAUUCUAGCAUGAAUAAUAAACAUUUAUCAUGAUAUAAGGAAAUAAAUAAUAACUUUAUUAUUGCCUCUAGGGCAUAUUUCCUUCAUAAUAUAGCAUGGAGCAAUAAAAAAUUAUAGAUACGUUGGAGACGUAUCAGGCAUCCCCAAGCUUAAUUCCUACUCGUCCUCGAGUAGGUAAAUGAUAAAAAGAGAAUUUUUGAUGCGGAGUGCUACUUGGCAUAAUUUCAAUGCAAAAUUUCUUAAUUGUGGUAUGGAUAUUCAGAUUAGAAAGAUUCAAGACAAAAGUUCAUAUUGACAUAAAGAAUAAUAACACUUCAAGCAUACUAAUAAAGUAAUUAUGUCUUCUCAAAAUAACAUGGCCAAAGAAAGUUAUCCCUACAAAAUCAUAUAGUCUGGCUAUGAUCUAUCUUCACCACACAAAGUAUUUAAAUCAUGCACAACCCCGAUGACAAGCCAAGCAAUUGUUUCAUACUCUAACUUUUUCAAAACUUUUUCAAUCUUCACGCAAUACAUGAUCAUGAGCCAUGGACAUAGCACUAUGUGGAAUAGAAGGGUGGUUGUGGAGAAGACAAAAAGAAGGGAAGAUAGUCUCACAUCAACUAGGCGUAUCAACGGGCUAUGGAGAGGUCCAUCAAUAGAUACCAAUGUGAGCGAGUAGGGAUUGCCAUGCAACGGAUGCACUAGAGCUAUAAGUAUAUGAAAGCUCAUCAAAAGAAACUAAGUGGGUGUGCAUCCAACUCGCUUGCUCACGAAGACCUAGGGCAAUUUGAGGAAGCCCAUCACUGGAAUAUACAAGCCAAGUUCUAUAAUGAAAAAUUCCCACUAGUAUAUGAAAUUGACAUAACGAGAGACUCUCUAUCAUGAAGAUCAUGGUGCUACUUUGAAGCACAAGUGUGGUAAAAGGAUAGUAACAUUGUCCCUUCUCUCUUUUUCUCUCUUUUUUGGGCCUUUUCUCUCUUUUUUAUGGCCUCUUUUUUUUCAUCCGGAGUCUCAUCCCGACUUAUGGGGGAAUCAUAGUCUCCAUCAUCCUUUCCUCACUUGGGACAAUGCUCUAGAAAAUGAUGAUCAUCACACUUUUAUUUCUCUUACAACUCAACAAUUACAACUCGAUACUUAGAACAAAUAUGACUCUAUAUGAAUGCCUCCGGCGGUGUACCGGGAUAUGCAAUGAAUCAAGAGUGACAUGUAUGAAAGAAUUAUGAAUGGUGGCUUUGCCACAAAUACGAUGUCAACUACAUGAUCAUGCUAGCAAUAUGACAAUGAUGGAGUGUGUCAUAAUAAACGGAAUGGUGGAAAGUUGCAUGGCAAUAUAUCUCGGAAUGGCUAUGGAAAUGCCAUGAUAGGUAGGUAUGGUGGCUGUUUUGAGGAAGGUAUAUGGUGGGUGUAUGAUACCGGCGAAAGGUGCGCGGUAUUAGAGAGGCUAGCAAUGGUGGAAGGAUGGGAAAAAGUGCAUAUAAUCCAUGGACUCAACAUUAGUCAUAAAGAACUCAUAUACUUAUUGCAAAAAUCUAGAAGUUAUCAAAGCAAAGUAUUACACGCAUGCUCCUAGGGGGAUAGAUUGGUAGGAAAAGACCAUCUCUCGUCCCCGACCGCCACUCAUAAGGAAGACAAUCAAUAAAUAAAUUAUGCUCCGACUUCAUCACAUAACGGUUCACCAUACGUGCAUGCUACGAGAAUCACAAACUUUAACACAAGUAUUCUUUAAAUUCACAACUACUAAACUAGCAUAACUCUAAUAUUAUCACCUCCAUAUCUCAAAACAAUUAUCAUGCUUCAAUCUUCUCUUAGUAUUCAACGCACUAAAUUUUUUUUUCACAUAUCUUGAACACCAAGCAUAUUUAUAUUAAGCAAAUUACCAUGCUAUUAAGACUCUCAAAAUAAUUUAAGUGAAGCAUGAGAGAUCAAUAGUUUCUUUAAAACAAACCACCACCGUGCUCUAAAAGAUUUAAGUGAAGCACAUAGAGCAAAAUUAUAACGCUCAAAAGAUAUAAGUGAAGUGCAUAGGGCAAAACUACAUAGCUCAAAAGAUUUAAGUGAAGCACAUAGAGAAUUCUAUCAAAUUUUAAUUCAUAGAUGACUCUCUCAAAAGGUGUGUAAAGCAAGGAUGAUUCUGGCACACUAACAAACAAAGACACAAAUAAUACAAGACGCUCCAAGCAAAACACGUAUCAUGUUGGUGAAUAAAAAUAUAGCUCCAAGUAAAUUACCGAUCGAAGUGGACGAAAGAGGGGAUGCCUUCCGGGGCAUCCCCAAGCUUUGACUUUUUGGUGUCCUUGGAUUAUCUUGGGGGUGCCAUGGGCAUCCCCAAGCUUAGGCUCUUGCCACUCCUUGUUCCAUAAUCCAUCAAAAGAACUCACCCAAAACUUGAAAAUUUCACAACACAAAACUCAAUAGAAAUCUCGUGAGCUCCGUUAGAGAAAGAAAACAAAAGACCACUUCAAUGUACUGUAAUGAACUCAUUCUUUAUUUAUUUUGGUGUUAAACCUAAUGUAUUCCAACUUCUCUAUGGAUUAUAAACUAUUUUACUAACCAUAGAUUCAUCAAAAUAAGCAAACAACACACGAAAAACAAAAUCUGUCAAAAACAGAACAGUUUGUAGUAAUCUGUAGCUAGCGCAAGAUAUGGAACCCCAAAAAUUCUAAAAUAAAUUUCUGGAAGUGAGGAAUUUAUCUAUUAAUCAUCUGAAAAAAGAAUUAACUAAAUAGCACUCUUAAAAUAAAAAUGACAGCAGUUCUCGUGAGCGCUAAAGUUUCUGUUUUUUACAGCAAGUUCAACAAGACUUUCCCCAAGUCUUCCCAACGGUUCUACUUGGCACAAACACUAAUUAAGCACAAAAAAACACAACCAAAACAGAGGCUAGAUAAUUUAUUUAUUAAAUAACAUCAAGGAUAAAUAUUGGGUUGACUCCCAACAAACGUUUUUCUUUAAAGCCUUAUAGCUAGGCAUAAUAUUUCAAUGAUGCUCACAUGAAAGACAAGAAUUGAAGCACAAAGAGAGCAUCAUAAAGCAUGUGAAAAACACAUCUAAGUCUAACAUACUUCCUAUGCAUAGGCAUCUUAUAGGCAAACAAAUUAUCAAGGUAAGCAAAAACUAGCAUAUGCAAGGAAGAGGAAAGAAACAAUAGCAAUCUCAACAUAACGAGAGGUAAUUUAGUAACAUGAAAAUUUCUACAACCAUAUUUUCCUCUAUCAUAGUAAUUACAUGUAGGAUCAUAAGCAAAUUCAAUAAAAUAGCUAUCACAUAAAAUAUUUUCGACAUGAUCCACAUGCAUGCAAAGUUGACACUCUUCCAAAGUAGUGGGAUUAACAUUAACUAAAGUCAUGACUUCUCCAAACCCACUUUUAUCAAGAUUUUCAUAAGAUUGAACAUUCUCCAAAUAUGUGGGAUCUAAAAUUGACACUCUUCCAAACCCACUUUCAGUAAUAUUGCAAACACUAUUAUCAAUCUCAUAUUCAUCAUGGGGCUUAAAUAAAUUUUCAAUAUCAUAAGAAGAAUCACCCCAAUCAUGAUCAUUGCAACAAGUAGAGGACAUAGCAAAACUAGCAUCUCCAAGCUUAGGGUUUUGCAUAUUAUUAGCACAAUUGACAUCAAGAGAGUUUAUAGUAAAAUCAUUGCAAUCAUGCUUUUUAUUCAAAGAUCUAUCAUGAAUCGCUUCAUAAAGUAAUUCAUCACACUUUUCAGAUUCACGAAUUUCAAGCAAAACCUCAUAAAGAUAAUCUAGUGCACAAAACUUACUAGCAACUGGUUCAUCAUAAUUAGAUCUCUUAAAAAGAUUAGCAAGCGGAUGAGGAUCCAUAGAUCUUAGGUUCUCUGUUUAGUAAUAACUAAACAACUAUUCCAACCAUACAAGCAAACAAGAAACGGGCAAAAGAGGCAAAUAGAGAGGGAGGAUAAAGAGAGGGCAAAUAAAACGGCAAGGGUGAAGUGGGGGAAAGGAAAACAAAAGGCAAAUGGCAAAUAAUGUAAUGCGAGAGAUAGGGAUUGUAAUGGGUACUUGGUAUGUUGACUUUUUGCGUAGACUCCCCGGCAACGGUGCCAGAAAUCCUUCUUGCUACGUCUUGAGCUUGCGUUGGUUUUCCCCGAAGAGGAAGGGAUGAUGUAGCAGAGUAGCGUAAGUAUUUCCCUCAGUUUUUGAGAAUAAAGGUAUCAAUCCAGUAGGAGGCCACGCGCAAGUCCCUCGUACCUACACAACACAAAGAGCUCAACGCAACCAACGCGAUUAGGGGUUGUCAAUCCCUUCAUGGUCACUUACGGAAGUGAGAUCUGAUAAAUAAUAUUUUUGGUAUUUUAUAUAUAAAGAUGCAAAGUGAAAAGUAAAAGGCAAAGUAAAAACAAAACAAGAUUAAAGUGAUGGAGAUUGAUAUGAUGAGAAUAGACCCGGGGGCCAUAGGUUUCACUAGUGGCUUCUCUCGAGAGCAUAAGUUUUCUACGGUGGGUGAACAAAUUACUGUUGAGCAAUUGACAGAAUUGAGCAUAGUUAUGAGAAUAUCUAGGCAUGAUCAUGUAUAUAGGCAUCACGUCCGUGACAAGUAGAUUGAAACGAUUCUGCAUCUACUACUAUUACUCCACUCAUCGACCGCUAUCCAGCAUGCAUCUAGAGUAUUAAGUUAAAAACAGAGUAACGCUUUAAGCAAGAUGACAUGAUGUAGAGAGAUAAAUUCAUGCAAUAUGAAAUAAAACCCAUCUUGUUAUCCUCGAUGGCAACGAUACAAUACGUGUCUUGCUGCCCCUUCUGUCACUGGGAAAGAACACCGCAAGAUCGAACCCAAAGCUAAGCACUUCUCCCAUGGCAAGAAGUACCAAUCUAGUUGGCCAAACCAAACGGAUAAUUCGAAGAGACUUGCAAAGAUAACCAAUCAUACAUAAAAGAAUUCAGAGAAGAUUCAAAUAUUGUUCAUAGAUAGACUUGAUCAUAAACCCACAAUUCAUUGGUCUCAACAAACACACCGCAAAAGAAGAAGAUUACAUCGAAUAGAUCUCCACAAGAGAGGGGGAGAACAUUGUAUUGAGAUCCAAAAAGAGAGAAGAAGCCAUCUAGCUACUAACUAUAGACCCGAAGGUCUGAAGUAAACUACUCACACUUCAUCGGAGGGGCUAUGAUGAUGUAGAAGCCCUCCGUGAUGACGGCCCUCUCCGGCGGAGCUCCGAAACAGGCCCCAAGAUGGGAUCUCGUGGAUACAGAAAGUUGCGACGGUGGAAUUAGGUUUUUGGCUCCUGUUCUGAUCGUUUAGGGGUACGUGGGUAUAUAUAGGAGGAAGGAGUACGUCGGUGGAGCACCGAGGGGCCCACAAGGCAGGGGGCACGCCCUGUAGGGGGGGGGGUGCGCCCCCUACCCUCGUGAACGCCUCCGGUACUUCUUGGAGUAGGGUCCAAGUCUCCUGGGUCUUAUCCGAGAAGAAAAUCACGUUCCAAAAAGGAUUUUUCUGUUUGGACUCCGUUUGAUAUUCUGUUUCUUCGAAACACCGAAAUAGGCAAAAAAACCCAGCAAUUCUGGGCUGGGCCUCCGGUUAAUAGGUUAGUCUCACAAAUAAUAUAAAAGUGGAAAAUAAAGCCCAAUAUAGUCCAAAACAGUAGAUACUAUAGCAUGGAGCAAUCAAAAAUUAUAGAUACGUUGGAGACGUAUCACGGACGCGGCACGAGCUCCCAAGUGCGAUUGCGCACAAGUGCUUCGAACUCGGCGCGCAUGGCGGCGAGCCAAUUGGGGUCGCGGACGGCGACGCGUAUCGAGGCAGGGACCGGCGAGAUCGCCCCGGACGUGCUUGUAGUGGCGGCGAGACCGUCGUGGUAGCGUGGAUUGGGGCGGAAGACGCCACUCUGCGCGCGCGUGGCCAUCCGUCGGGGCGCUACAGGAGGAGCAGCCGAAGGAGAAGGCGCGGGCGAGGAAGACGACGAAGAGCGCACUGUCGAGGCAGACGAAGCGCUGGUGGAGCAGGAGGUGGUAGCCGAGCCGUCGAUCGAAAGAUAAACGCCCCCAAGCGACUGCAUGGCGGGGAGGCGCGAGAUCGUGGCCGAGGCGGCGCCCGACAGGUCAGCACUCCCACGUAACUGCACGGCGAGAGGGCGGGGGCCCGCGCACAAGCCGUCUGAUGUAGAUCCAGCAGACGAGUUUGAACGCGCGGCAUGCGUGCGCGAGGCACUCGAUGAAGAGCCCGCCGGCGAUGAGCCAACGGCCAUGCGUGAAGAAGAGCAUGGCGCGCGAUCGCAGAGGCACCGCUCGCCCAUAGGGACCUGCAAAACGGGAGGAGCAAACGCAUGCGGUGGUGGAGCGGCGGGGUUAACUGUGGGCGGUGUGGCGAAGGGGAAGAUCGACUCGUGGAAGCGGACAUGGCGAGAUGUAAGCACACGACGCGUCGUGGGGUCGAAACACCUAUAACCGCGGUGGUCAGACGGGUAGCCUAGAAAGACACACACGGUGGAACAAGGAGCAAGUUUGUGUUUGGCCGUGGCAGCAAGGUUUGGAUAACACAAACACCCGAAGACGCGCAGAAGGGAGUAGUCGGGAGCGACACCUAGGAGGAGCUCAUGGGGCGUGCGUGGUGUGCUAGCAUGACACGACCGACGAUUGAGGAGAUAGGAUGCUGUGUAGAGAGCUUCGACCCAGAAACGCGCCGGCAUGGAUGCAUGAAAGAGGAGAGCACGCACACUGUGGUUGAGUGUCCGGAGGAUGCGCUCGGCCUUCCCGUUCUGCUGGCUUGUGUAAGGACACGAGAGCCGGAGAUGAGUACCGUGGCGACUAAGUAGAGAGCGGACGGCAGCACUAUCGAACUCUCGCCCGUUGUCGGUUUGGAGCGAGAAGACAGGAAGCUGAAACUGUGUUUUGACAUAAGCAUAGAAAUCAAGCAAAACAGGGAGUACUUCCGAUUUGUGUUUGAGGGGAAACGUCCACAUGUAAUGUGUGUAGUCAUCCAGCACAACCAAAUAAAACUGAUAGCCAGAGAUACUCGCAACGGGAGAUGUCCAUACAUCAAGAUGCAGUACAUGAAAGGGAAACAUGCUAGUGCUGGUAGAACUACUAAAUGGCAGGCGGACGUGCUUGCCCAAACUACAUGCAUGACACGAAUGGGGUGCGGACUUGCUGAAGCUAAGAUGAUCGGCGCCCAGACGGAGCGAAGUGUGCCCGAGCCGGUGAUGCCACAAGGUGGAGUCGACGAAACCGGUGAAAGCCGAACGCGAGGGUAGCGCCGGGCGGCCGACGGAAUAGAUAUCACCGUCGGAGUCACAUCGGAGGAUCACUGCCUUGGUUUGAAGGUCCUUGAAAAAGAAGCCAAAAGCGUCAAAUUCGACAGAAACGGGAUUAUCACGACAAAUUCGGCGUACUGAAAGCAAGUUUGUAAUGAGGGAGGGAGAGACAAGGACGUUGCGAAGUUGGACAGGGGAUGUGCCCUCGAUGAGAGCACCGUCACCGACGUGGGUGAUCGGUAGAUGAGCUCCACUGCCAACAAUUAUAUGAGAAGGGGAGUGACAUGGACGGAGGGAAUGGAGGUUACCAGGCGACGAGGACAUGUGAGAGGAGGCCCCAGAGUCGAGGUACCAGUCUGAAGCGGUGCCCGACGAAGAGGGCCCGGCCGUGGCACUGUGGAGCGCCGCCUGGAGGGACUGCAUGUCCCAUGGUUGUGGCGACAGCGCGGCGGACGACGAGCUGGCGCCCGGAGAGCCAUAGCCAUGGAAGGAGCCGCCAGGGUAGCCGUAGCCGGGAGGCGGACCGCCAGGGGCGCCGUAGUCGGGCGGCGCAGGCGCGGCGAACAUGGCCUGUUGGUGAGGUGUGCCGGGGCGCGGCCCGAGGACGCCGGCUCCCGGGGCGCGCUAGGGCAUGGGCCAGGCCUGGACGAGCCCUGUCCAGGAGUUGGCGCCAGGAGCCGGCGCGGGGUAGGUGGGUGGGCGCGGUGGCGCGCCAGUGGGCGGUGCAGGGGCGCUGCCGUUCCCUCUGCCGCGAUGGCGCGAGCGGCCACGACUACGCGUGGCGUCGGCGGGCGGCGAAGGAGGUGGUGCGGCAGGUGCGGGGGAGCCGCGCCCAGCGAAGAGAGCGUGGGCGGACUGCUGCCGAGCCGCCUGCUCAGCGCAAUGCUCCUCCAAGAGAAGGAAGGAGCGCACCUGGAGGAACGUCGGGAGCGGGUUCUCGCAGGUGAUAUGCGGGAUGACGGAGUGGUACUGGCGGUUGAGACCGCGGAGAAGAUGAAAGAUCUGUCGUGGGUCAGUUACUGGCUGGCCCAGAUCACGGAGUUGGUCGGCGAAGGUCUUGAGCUUGGUGCAGAAUUGCAUCACCGUCAUGUCGCCCUGGACGGUGGCGUGGUACUCGGCGUCGACGUACACUGCGCGGGCCAUCUGGUUGUUGCGGAAAAGCUCGUCGACGGCGAGCCACACGGUGCGGGCCGUGUCCUCCGGCUGCAUGAUCGCAUCGAGGAGCUCCGGCGAGAUGGUGGCAUACAACCAGUGGAUGACGGUGUGGUCAGCCAUCUGCUACUCGGGGUCGGCGGGGCGAGGAACCGCCUCAGCAUCGACGUGCGCAUGGAGGCCGAACAUGCCGAGCACCGUGUCGAAGUGACGCCUCCACUGAGCGUGGUUGCCGGCGAGGAGAUCGAGUACGACAGGAACAUGGCGACGGAUGUCGAUGGUCUGGAGGAUGGUAGAGGGAAAGGAGAGAGGCGGCGCGGCGGGCGUGGCAGGCGAGGGUGGGGCGACGUGUUGGAAAGGAGCGGCGUUGAGGACGCCGGCCGCACCGUCGACAGAGGAACGAGGGGAAAGGACGGGGUUGUCGUCCAUGGCGGAAGCGGAAUCGGCGACCGGAGCAAAGGGGUUCUGGUCGGGGGUAUCUGAUACCAUGUUAAGGAAAGGAGAAAGAAUGGGAUUCAACACAUUUCGAUUAUGCUCAGAGGCUGGGUUUAAGUACAGGUUGCUGUCCUCAGCCGAGCCAAGAUCGUGGGUAUGCCACUACCUCAGGACGUGCACCACUAGCUAUACAACUGCUGCACGAUCCGUAUUAUACCGUAUGGUAAACUAUACAAGGUGCAUACGGUAUAGAACUACCUAGUCUAACAAUGCUAGAUUACCAUGGGGCCAAGCCAGAGGUUCAGCAGCUACAAUGCGUAGGGAUGAUCACGGAAACUUUUUGGGCAGCUCGGCACUGGUCGUUUAUGGUAUAACGGACGUUGCUACUGGAAUCAAUUGCAUGUAGGGAGGCACCAUCUUUGGCCGAAGACUUACAGCUAAGAGACUUUAUCAACGCAGGUUAUUAACGACAUUGAUCGGGGGAGCCAUGGAAGAUAUGGAGCUAUAAUUAAAAUUGCGUGUUAUCAAUUAGAUGCCGAUAGGUGAUCCAAGUUACCGCAUUCACUUGGUCAGGGAAGACAUGUUUGGUUGUUACAGCCGCACGAUCCCUUUUGUAUUCCGCUCCAUCUGGAGUUUGAUCAAUAUAAAGCUUGGUGACACCCUAAAAAAA
rnacentral:lncRNA from 1 species